GCUAAGUCCGGGCAAGCAGCGUGGGUAAUACGGAGGGUGCAAGGGUGAAUCGGAAUGACUGGGCGUAAAGCGGACGCAGGCGGUUAGAUAAGUCAGAUGUGAAAGCCCCGGGCUCAACCUGGGAACUACAUUUGAAACUGUCUGACUAGAGUCUUGUAGAGGGGGGUAGAAUUCCAGGUGUAGCGGUGAAAUGCGUAGAGAUCUGGAGGAAUACCGGUGGCGAAGGCGGCCCCCUGGACAAAGACUGACGCUCAGGUGCGAAAGCGUGGGGAGCAAACAGGAUUAGAUACCCCAGUAGUC
rnacentral:rRNA from 1 species